UUGGGGACAACAUUCCGAAAGGGAUGCUAAUACCGAAUGUCCUCCCUCCUCCGCAUGGAGGAGGGAGGAAAGAUGGCCUCUGCUUGCAAGCUAUCGCUGGAAGAUGGGCCCGCGUCUGAUUAGCUAGUUGGUGGGGUAACGGCUCACCAAGGCGAUGAUCAGUAGCCGGUCUGAGAGGAUGAACGGCCACAUUGGGACUGAGACACGGCCCAA
rnacentral:rRNA from 1 species